rnacentral:rRNA from 1 species
AUCCUACGGGGCGCAGCAGUGGGGAAUAUUGCACAAUGGGGGGAACCCUGAUGCAGCGACGCCGCGUGAAGGAUGAAGUAUUUCGGUACGUAAACUUCUAUCAGCAGGGAAGAAAAUGACGGUACCUGACUAAGAAGCCCCGGCUAACUACGUGCCAGCAGCCGCGGUAAUACGUAGGGGGCAAGCGUUAUCCGGAAUUACUGGGUGUAAAGGGUGCGUAGGUGGCAUGGUAAGUCAGAAGUGAAAGCCCGGGGCUUAACCCCGGGACUGCUUUUGAAACUGUCAUGCUGGAGUGCAGGAGAGGG